AGUAUAUAAACGCCAGCGGACGAUUGAAACGCAACGUCUCUCUCUCAGUCUGUUCUUCAUCGCUUCGUCGUUGCGAUCUCUCGGUCUCUUCGUCGUUGUGAUUUCGUUUGCUUCGUCUCCAUAGGUGGAUUUGCAGGUAGCUUUCAUGCUUCUUCUUCUCACAUGCUUAAGUUUGCAUUCUUCUCCGUCGAUUUCAAGCUUUUUGAUCUAUUGAAAAGCUAGUUGUAAAUUCGAAUUCCUCUAAAUUUGAUCCAAUUUUCGUUUAGGUUUACUUUGUUUUUGAAUCGGUUUGAUGCUUUGAUGUUAUUUAGUGAGCAAUUUGUAGGUUGAAUCUCUUGAUUCUUUAUUCUUAUGGUGUUUUCAUCUUUUUGAAUUUUGAAUUGGAAUUUGACGACGAGCUAUUUCUGUUUAGGUUUUGUGUUGAUAAUUUUCCGAUUGCAGUUAUAAAUCAAUUUUAAAGUUCAUUCGAAGUAGAUUUGUUGAGCUAUUGAAAUUUGCAGAUGUUUGUUUUGGUUUUGAUUCAAUGUUUUCAGCUAUUGUAGUAGCAGCUACCUAGGUCGUGUUUGUUUUUGGUUAUUUGUUUUGAUUCAAUGUUUCAGCUACUUGUAGUAGCAGGUGUUUGUUUUGAUAUGUUUUUAUUUGCAGUUUAUAUGCAGUAGCUAUUGUAUUUGAUAUGUUUUGAUUCAAUGUUUCAGCUAUUCUAGUUUAUAUGCAGUAGCAGGUGUUUGUUUUGAUAUGUUUUUAUUUGCAGUUUAUAUGCAGUAGCUAUUGUAUUUUAUAUGUUUUAAUUCAAUGUUUCAGCUAUUCUAGUUUAUAUGCAGUAGCAUGUGUUUGUUUUGGGGUUGAUUCAAUGUUUUAAUGUGUGUUGUAAAGAGAACGUUUUAAAUGUUUUUUUGUGUGAUUCUGAUGGUUCAUCAAGUGUAUUAGCAGAUACAUAACUAGUCUAGUCUGUGUAGUAGCAGCUCUUUAACAUUAGUGUUUUUUUAGGAUUUUUUGGGAUUUUUUGGUUCAGCAGGUGUAGUAGCAGACAUAUUACUAGUCUAGUCUGUGUAGUAGCAGCUCUUUAACAUUAGUGUGUUUUUUAUUGAUUUUUUUUGGUUAGCAGCUCCCUAGCUUGUCUCAGUUGCAUUUUUUUUGUUUGAGGUGGUGU
rnacentral:lncRNA from 1 species